rnacentral:rRNA from 1 species
AUGGGUUUAAUGGAGCAUUAGUAUAAUCCUACCAUUGGAUGGCUCGGUUCAAGUGCCGAUGAAGGGCGUGCCAAGCUGCGAUAAG